GAGGAGGGUCCCCGAUUGGGUGAGAACCCUAGCCCAUUCUCCCCUUCUCCACCGUAGCUGUCGCCGCCAUGGUCCCGUCCUCCUCUCCUCCCCAUACAUCUCCCAGCGCCGAGUUCGCUGCCUUAGCUGCUCUCCCCACUAGCCAGCAUGCCGUCGACGGCCAACCGGGCCGCCGCACGCAGGAAGGAAGAGCAGCAGCAGCCGGGACGAGGGCGGGGAUGGAGAACGCGGCGUCCAUCUAGCGGAGCCUUCGUCCAUCCCUCACCCCUGAUGCCGCCGUCCUUCCUCCUCCCCAUCGGGGCUAGGCAGAGGAGGAGGAGCGCCGGCCACGAGCACGACGAGGAGGCGGCCGGCAUCACUGUGCGUCGCCCGACCAAGGUCUUCUCCCACUACUCUGGGUCGCGCGCCGCCUCUGUCGCCGACAGGAGGGAGCCGCGGCAGCCGCCACGCAUCCCGGCGACCAGGGCCCCCCCGGCGUGGUUCCCUCAACGGAGGGAUGCUUCCUCCGUCCACUGCCUGCUCCGUGCCGACACCAUCAGUAGCGGCGGCGGUCAGGCUGAUGCGGACUCCGCGCCACCACCGACGGCUUCGCCACGGACCGCAUCGUCUCCGACCAUGGCGAAAAGGCGCCCAUCGUCGUCUACAGCGGCACCCUCUUCGGCCCUGACCUAGGUGCGUGAGCUCACCACCGUCCGCCUCGAGGUCAUGUUUCCCUCUCCCUCGAGUUCAACGCGUGUGUGACCGUGUGAUGGAUUGCAUUAGACGUGUUGCAGUCACCGGGAUGCUCAUUGCGCUCGUUGGAUUCGGGCUCUACAAGCUUCGAUUCCCAAGUGUCAUGAAAUGUAUCAAAAUCGGUCUUCCAGAGAUCAUACUGUUGGUAGCUCUUUCCCAGUACAUACCUCAUCCGGUGCCUUUGCUGGGCACUGCCUUUGAGGGGUUCGCCGUCAUAAUGUCCGUUGCUGUCUUGUGGCUUUAUGCAUUCUUCCUGACGGUUGGCAGGGCGUAUAAGAAUGCUGCUCCACCUGACCAUCCCAAUACUGCAGGAGUGAUCGGUACAGCCAAUGCAUCGCUACUAGAGUACUGGCCCUUUUGGUGUUAGUAUGGCUGGAUUAUUUGCUUCUUUCAUGAUGAAGAAAUGGCCAUAGCCAUGGGAGUUUCCUCUUGGCGAUGAUAGCCGGUUCGUGCUGUACGGCUUGGUUGAGCUCAAGGUCAAUGGAUACGGCAAUUGUCAGCUAUUUUGUGUUUCUGGUUCUAUAUAUAUACUGGUUGGAUGUUGACAAACAAUUUCCAUGCCUUCUUUUUCUAUGGGUGUAUGCUCAGCCAGGGUUAGAAGCAGUGGGUCAUCCUCGACCUCACGCCGCCCAUCUAGACAGAAGAAGAUGGGUGCUGCAGGUGACGAGGCUGACGCGCCAUCGUCCUGUCUUCUGUGAGGGGAUCCAUCAUGAGGAACCAGCGGACGCGAUACGGGUACCCGAUCCUUACUGCGGAAUCACCUCUUCUUGUGGAUGGUUGCUGAACAGCAGCAGUUCCAUCUCCAUCCCCAACGCAUCCUUGCCUCAUCUUGAUCUGCAAUGAACCAGAGCUCAUAGAAAGAGAUUUGAUGUGAUGAUUGAGGUGGAAGGCUACCUUAACCUAUGGAUCAAAGAUUGAUCAAGAAAGACAAAUUGUCUCAUGCUUCAAGUACCAAGAAGAUAAUUUCUUGCAAGAUAAGGAAAAAUGGUGUUGUGUCCCUUGGCGAAUGUAGUGAUGGACUGGUCUUUGGCACUUCUCAGUCGACCAGGUAAUAUACAUCCUCCAACCUUACCAGCUACAUAAUUUUGUGGGGUUCUCCAGUUUAAUUCUUUAUAAAAUUUGAUAACCUGCCCAAGGUCCGGAUUCACCUAGCACAACCGGAGACAUGGUCGGUUGCCUGUUGGUCUGAAACUACACAAAUUCUCUGAAACCCACUAGCCAAGACAGGCGACUGCCCUUUGUCACAUGCUUGAAUCGAUUUGGGCAUAGCAGUCUGGACAGGAAGUUAGUUUUAAGUGGGUGUAGGGCUCUACGCUCUCUCAUCUUGGUUUUGAUGGCAGGAUAAUCAUACUCAAGUCUGAUUGUACGAUGGCUCCUGUGGAUGCUCUGGUUGUUGGAGAGAUUCUGUCUGUAGAGGAUGUUUUUCAGCGCUUGAUCAGCUACGAUGAAGAGCAAUGCCUUGAAACAUUUCUUUGUGGUCUCUGCACAAUUUAUUUCAGUGAGCACCCAGUAAGGGAGAACACUACUCAUACCAUAUAUAUUGGACACUGAGUUGGUGCUCCAUGGAGCAAGGGCACCAAGAUUUAUGCACAAAUCCAAACCAAAUUUGGUAUAGUUUUUGGAAAUUUAAUUCUGGGGUCGACGCCACCGUGGCAGUGUUCUUCGGCACUCGGGUCAACAUAGUAGGUUUCUCCUUGUCAUUGACAGCAUCGGUUAGCAUAGGGGCAGCGGUCGCGGUCACGGUCACCCGAGGAGCACAGCCACACGGGGCUGGUCCUGCUGCCACCAGAGAAGAGCGGAGGAGGUCGAUACAGGGUCGAGGAGGGGCACGGGCGAGGUUCAUGCCGCACGGGGGCACGCGGCGUCCAGCGAGAGAAGGCUUCUCCUGUUCCCGUGCCGCCAGGCACCCCUCACCGCCGCCCUACUUGUCCUCCGGUCGUCGGUGCUCUGUUGGUUACUGGAUUUUGCUUAUCUGCCGGCAGACCGCACCGGAGGCCGCCGCCAUAUAGGGGCUGAUGAGGGCAUCGUGAUGAGGUUGCCGCUUUUGCCAUAGCAGAGAGGAUCCAGCCGGCACGCUGCGUCUCCCAUAAACAUGCCUAAUUUUAUAUGCAGAGGAAUGUAUCCAUGAACUGGGAAACCUGUGAACUCUUUGAUACGCCUUUUAUGUGUUGCUUUUGGUCUUGAUAGAGGGAGAUACAUUGACAGGAAGUGCUCACUCGCUAGAAUUGUUUCUAUCAGGGGCAGAAUUAUUGUUGAAACACGCACCGUGUGAAGAUGAAUAGGAACCUUUCAUAAUUAUUCCCAAACAUGCCACUGUGUCAUCAUUGGCCAGUGCAGGAACUCUUAGAUUAUACAAGUCCCUAUGUUUGUUUGGAUUCAUGAACCAUGGGACUAGACUUUCAUUCGAUGCCACUAGCUCUUGUGAUGCACCGUGUAAACUACCAUGUGAUCUCCCUCUUCUUUUGUGAAUGCGUCCCUUUUGUCACAUCUAUCCAUCCUUUUGUACUUGAUAUCUACCGUGUAUGAACAAUUGUACCUUUAAUUUACCAUGUAUAUGGACAUUGCAUCCUCAAAUGUGUUGUGUUGUCGUUCUGUUGGCUAUGGAGAUGUGUUGUACUACAGUUUUGGUAUCCAUCUAUGAUGUCUUGCUCCUAUUACAUGUGAAUAUUUCUUCUUUCCUUUAUUCUGAUAAAUCCUGGCUUUCUACUAACUUUGACCAUUACUUGCUUCGCCACAUCGUUGGAACCGGCACCCUCGCGCCAAGGCGCGAUGCCGAUCUCGUGAGAAAAGAUGUCUCCUCUAGUAGGGAGGCGCUUCUGGUGUCUUCAUCAAUCUCAAUAUGAAGUACCGGCUUGGUCUCUCGGAGGAUUUCCGGCGGUGUGCAUUCGUGGGAGGAGACGUUCCCGUCGACGAAGAGGCGCC